rnacentral:tRNA from 1 species
GCCGCGGAUCGCUCUGGCGCCGAUCAACGAACUUCUAAUCCGUCGGUCGCAGGUCCAAAUCCUGCGGGGCGCGUCA